GGGGGAGCAAACAGGAUUAGAUACCCUGGUAGUCCACGCCGUAAACGAUGUCGACNNNGAGGUUGUGCCCUUGAGGCGUGGCUUCCGGAGCUAACGCGUUAAGUCGACCGCCUGGGGAGUACGGCCGCAAGGUUAAAACUCAAAUGAAUUGACGGGGGCCCGCACAAGCGGUGGAGCAUGUGGUUUAAUUCGAUGCAACGCGAAGAACCUUACCUGGUCUUGACAUCCACAGAACUUUCCAGAGAUGGAUUGGUGCCUUCGGGAACUGUGAGACAGGUGCUGCAUGGCUGUCGUCAGCUCGUGUUGUGAAAUGUUGGGUUAAGUCCCGCAACGAGCGCAACCCUUAUCCUUUGUUGCCAGCGGUCCGGCCGGGAACUCAAAGGAGACUGCCAGUGAUAAACUGGAGGAAGGUGGGGAUGACGUCAAGUCAUCAUGGCCCUUACGACCAGGGCUACACACGUGCUACAAUGGCGCAUACAAAGAGAAGCGACNNNGCGAGAGCAAGCGGACCUCAUAAAGUGCGUCGUAGUCCGGAUUGGAGUCUGCAACUCGACUCCAUGAAGUCGGAAUCGCUAGUAAUCGUGGAUCAGAAUGCCACGGUGAAUACGUUCCCGGGCCUUGUACACACCGCCCGUCACACCAUGGGAGUGGGUUGCAAAAGAAGNNNNNNGCUUAACCUUCGGGAGGGCGCUUACCACUUUGUGAUUCAUGACUGGGGUGAAGUGGUAACAAGGUAGCCGUAA
rnacentral:rRNA from 1 species